rnacentral:piRNA from 1 species
UGCUACAAAUUCGGACAUGGAAGUGGU